GACGAACGCUGGCGGCGUGCCUAAUACAUGCAAGUCGAACGAACUCUGGUAUUGAUUGGUGCUUGCAUCAUGAUUUACAUUUGAGUGAGUGGCGAACUGGUGAGUAACACGUGGGAAACCUGCCCAGAAGCGGGGGAUAACACCUGGAAACAGAUGCUAAUACCGCAUAACAACUUGGACCGCAUGGUCCGAGCUUGAAAGAUGGCUUCGGCUAUCACUUUUGGAUGGUCCCGCGGCGUAUUAGCUAGAUGGUGGGGUAACGGCUCACCAUGGCAAUGAUACGUAGCCGACCUGAGAGGGUAAUCGGCCACAUUGGGACUGAGACACGGCCCAAACUCCUACGGGAGGCAGCAGUAGGGAAUCUUCCACAAUGGACGAAAGUCUGAUGGAGCAACGCCGCGUGAGUGAAGAAGGGUUUCGGCUCGUAAAACUCUGUUGUUAAAGAAGAACAUAUCUGAGAGUAACUGUUCAGGUAUUGACGGUAUUUAACCAGAAAGCCACGGCUAACUACGUGCCAGCAGCCGCGGUAAUACGUAGGUGGCAAGCGUUGUCCGGAUUUAUUGGGCGUAAAGCGAGCGCAGGCGGUUUUUUAAGUCUGAUGUGAAAGCCUUCGGCUCAACCGAAGAAGUGCAUCGGAAACUGGGAAACUUGAGUGCAGAAGAGGACAGUGGAACUCCAUGUGUAGCGGUGAAAUGCGUAGAUAUAUGGAAGAACACCAGUGGCGAAGGCGGCUGUCUGGUCUGUAACUGACGCUGAGGCUCGAAAGUAUGGGUAGCAAACAGGAUUAGAUACCCUGGUAGUCCAUACCGUAAACGAUGAAUGCUAAGUGUUGGAGGGUUUCCGCCCUUCAGUGCUGCAGCUAACGCAUUAAGCAUUCCGCCUGGGGAGUACGGCCGCAAGGCUGAAACUCAAAGGAAUUGACGGGGGCCCGCACAAGCGGUGGAGCAUGUGGUUUAAUUCGAAGCUACGCGAAGAACCUUACCAGGUCUUGACAUACUAUGCAAAUCUAAGAGAUUAGACGUUCCCUUCGGGGACAUGGAUACAGGUGGUGCAUGGUUGUCGUCAGCUCGUGUCGUGAGAUGUUGGGUUAAGUCCCGCAACGAGCGCAACCCUUAUUAUCAGUUGCCAGCAUUAAGUUGGGCACUCUGGUGAGACUGCCGGUGACAAACCGGAGGAAGGUGGGGAUGACGUCAAAUCAUCAUGCCCCUUAUGACCUGGGCUACACACGUGCUACAAUGGAUGGUACAACGAGUUGCGAACUCGCGAGAGUAAGCUAAUCUCUUAAAGCCAUUCUCAGUUCGGAUUGUAGGCUGCAACUCGCCUACAUGAAGUCGGAAUCGCUAGUAAUCGCGGAUCAGCGUGCCGCGGUGAAUACGUUCCCGGGCCUUGUACACACCGCCCGUCACACCAUGAGAGUUUGUAACACCCAAAGUCGGUGGGGUAACCUUUUAGGAACCAGCCGCCUAAGGUGGGACAGAUGAUUAGGGUG
rnacentral:rRNA from 1 species